UUGAUCCAACUCCUCCCUCUCCCUCGGUCUCGCCUCUCCUAUCGCUCGGUCCUCUGACCUCUCUAGGGUUCGCCGCCCGCCGCCGUCCCCAGCCGCCCUGCUCCGCUGUUGCCCCUCCCUCCGCCUGCCUCGCCCCUGAUCCCCCAAGCGAGCCACCGUCCUCCUCUCCAACCCCGGCCUCCACUCCACCGCGCACCGCCGGCGACGACUCCUCUCCCAGGCCACGGAUCCACCCGAGCAGCCGAGGCAGCGGUCAGAUCCGCCCGCCCUCCUUCACUCCAUAUUCACGCUGGAAACCCUAGCCACCCGACCAUGCCGAACGACCGCAGGCACGAGGAAUCUGCUGCUCCCCUCCUCCUCCAACGGUGGUAGUCAGGAAGGAGGUACAGUACAGCCAAGGGAGGGUUCUCCUCUUGGAUGUCCAAUUUAGGCACAAUAGAGAAAAGGUUGUUCUGACGAUUGAUAUCAACACUGCUUUCAAGAGGAUACACUGAUAAGCGAUGAAACCGAAUUAUUCAUAUUUCUGGAGCAUUUUUAGCUGGAGCUGCAGUGCAACCAUGUUUGUCCGCGUCGUGGUGAGGUGGAGAGCCAAAAUGCAUGAAGCUUAUGACAUGGGUGAAGGAGAUGAAAGCUCUAGGCAAGUAGGGAGUACCACAAGAUCUGACUCACCACCAUCUGAUCUAGGCACUGUCCGGCCGAGGUAAUGAAGGGUGACAUAGGGAGGGCUGAGAGACACUGCUGACGUUCUCUUUUUAUUUUGCAUUUACUUAUUUAUUUCUCAUUUACUUAGUCAGGUUAUUUUACAGUACCUAAGGUAAUUCACCGGCAUUGUUUCUAAAAUAGAUUGUGUUUUGUUUUGUUCUGGAGUGUUUAUACUGUUGCUGCAUCUGAAAUGGCAUGGUAUUAGUUUUUUCAUUUUUAAAAGAAUGCCACUAGACUUUCAACAAUCAAAACUAUGUCCUGAAGUUAUCGACACUUGAAUAUACAUUAUGAUUUAGUGCACUUUCAAUCAAUGGUCAAUGCAAAUCAAUGGUCAAUGCAUCACUAUUUUCUGGAAGCAUUCCAUUCCAUAUGAAGUUUUCUUUUCAGCUUGAUAUGUUAAUAAUAUUAUUACCAUGUUUCACGGAAAUGUCUAUUUGAGAACUUUUCAGCUAAAGUGGUGCCUGUAUAUUGGACAAGUAAGACAAUCGAAAAUAGAUUCAGCAUGGUUCCUGUACUCCCAACUUUUCAUGGUUCACUUCACAUAAAAAAAACUUCUUCGCCAUAGCGCAGUUGUGGUGCUUCACGACGCUGUGAGAAGAUGAUCGAGGGUCAGCGGCACGGGUGCUUCGUCGUCAUCUUCAAUGAGUCCAAGUGAUUUAUAUCUGAUGCAACUCAAAAGAGAAUUCUGAAGCUGAUGAACUUGGAUGGCCUGACAGUCUACCAUACCAACCGACAUCUCCAUGUAAAUGGUGGCGGCUAGGGUGAUCAGGGAGGAUGACGCGCUAUGGCAGCAAUAAAAGCACAGUGCUGCUAUCUUUCUCGUGAUUGAAUCAUCCCAGUCUGAAAUCUGGGUGGAGUUCCCCAUGGCAACUGAAUACCUUUCAACUGGAUGCUCGAGGGAGCAGGGUACCCUAUGGUGCAAGUGGAUGGUUGUAUAUCUGUUGUAAAUCAAACCAACUGUUCCCUUUUUCUGUACUACAAUUGUGGUUAUAUUACUGGUUUAUAAAUUUGCAGAGAAAAUGCAUUUGUUAUACCCUAUAUCUGAGCUAACAUCGUUUGCUUUCCAAUUGCAGCUUUAGAUUAGGCGUUUAUGCCAAGUUUAAUUUUUUCUUAAUCCCAGUUUUGUGCUAAUUAUAUCUUUUCUCUUUGAUGGGCAGUUGUAUUGCCGACUGAUGCAACCAUGUGCUGAUCUGCCGGCAGUGAGCGGGCAGAGUUGAGGGAGGGCGGCCAGCUGCCUGGCGGGUGCGCCGGCGAGCACAACGUGAAAGAGCCUGACAGCCUGUCCACUACCAGCUUAGUUGCUGACUCUUUGAUUGUCGUGCUGCCCCGUGCAAUGGCCAGCUGGUGAAGGGGAAGCCAUUGGAUUUGUAGGACUUUGUUGGCAUCACCACUAUGCUUGUUAUCACAAUCAGUUUCACUGAGGAAAAAACUGCCAGCGAUGUCUGCCCCUGUGCUCAUCAAUGAUUCCACUCUCCCUCUCUCUGUUGGCUGGUCCUGCCCAUGAAUAGGAUAAAUCACAGCCGUGGGGGUGCGCGGGUCCCAGCCAUGCGAUGUCCGGUUGUCGGAGCUUGACGCCGCCAUGGGCGACGGUGCUGACCCACCACCCUGGUGCCAACCCCUUGUCGAGCCAGCAGCCCCGGGCAGAGGAAGGCCACCCAGUCAUUGUUUUCUCCAUGAACAGACCAUCACUUGAUCCACGUCUUCAGAGUGUUGGUGCUCUGCCUUUCACCAGCAGCAACACUUCAGCGAAGUGGGCGGUUUUGUUGGGACAACGGAAUCUGCUCAUCUAAAGUGAAACUGGGAAUUGGACGAACGCUCUUCUACUCAGCUACUUGGACGUGCUCUCAAGGUCUCAGCUCAUGAGCCUCCCACUCUUCCUUGUGAAGCAGCAAAUGCAACAUACCUAAAGGUGCAUAAACUAAGGUGUACAUAAUUUAUUUUGUGGAGGAAGAAUAUGGUAACUUAAACAGUAUUACAUGUGAUGCCAUGUCGCUGCGGGGAAGCAUUCACACACUCACGUUUGGCAUGUUCCAUGCAGCAGACCUGUCGUCAUUGGUUGAGAUUUUGUUCAUUAGCAUAGGUUCAUGAAUGCCGAGCGCAUCCAAUCGACAUCGUCAAACUUUGGGCUCUAGCACUUUGCUCUGUUUGUGAGGAUGGAUCAAUAGUGCGCUCACCAAGUGGCAGCAGUAGAAGCAACACUCAAAAGGAGCGACACAACAAAGACGGAGGACGACAUCGAGCGGAGGCUAUAUAGAAUGAUUGCAGGUUUUAAUCAAGAAGUCCUCAAUAGGUGGACUGGCUCAAAAUGGAGAAGCAUGCUGGUAGCUUUUGUGUUGAUUGUAUUAAGCAUUUAAGUUUGUAGCAAUUCAUAACGUCAAAUCAUUGGGAUGCUUUGUAAUAUUUUAGAAGACUGUGUUUCUUUGCUGGAUCUAGCGUGCUGUCUAUAGAUGUCCUUACCUACUUCCUUCUCACAUAUGGAAUGGGUUUUCGGAUAGCCUAGACAUACGGAGACAAUUUGGGGGUGUCGAUUCUCUCUCUCUCUC